rnacentral:rRNA from 1 species
UACGAAGGGGGCGAGCGUUGUUCGGAUUUACUGGGCGUAAAGGGCGCGCAGGCGGCUAUCCAAGUCAGGCGUGAAAGCCCCGGGCUUAACCUGGGAGGUGCGUCUGGGACUGGGUGGCUAGAGUUCGGGAGAGGAGAGUGGAAUUCCCAGUGUAGAGGUGAAAUUCGUAGAUAUUGGGAAGAACACCGGUGGCGAAGGCGGCUCUCUGGGACGGUACUGACGCUGAGACGCGAAAGCGUGGGGAGCAAACAGG